UGGGUGUCAGGGAGAGAGUCUCCCAUCAGUC
rnacentral:piRNA from 1 species